GAUGAACGCUGGCGGCGUGCUUAACACAUGCAAGUCGAACGGAAAGGCCCAAGCUUGCUUGGGUACUCGAGUGGCGAACGGGUGAGUAACACGUGGGUGAUCUGCCCUGCACUUCGGGAUAAGCCUGGGAAACUGGGUCUAAUACCGGAUAGGACCACAUUUUGGAUGGUGUGGUGGAAAGUUUUUCGGUGUGGGAUGGGCUCGCGGGCUAUCAGCUUGUUGGGGGGGUAAUGGCCUACCAAGGCGUCGGCGGGUAGCCGGCCCGGGAGGGUGUACGGGCACAAUGGGGCUUGGAUACGGGCCAGACCCCUACGGGAGGCAGCAGUGGGGAAUAUUGCACAAUGGGCGCAAGCCUGAUGCAACGACGCCGGGUGGGGGAGGACGGCCUUCGGGUUGUAAACUCCUUUCGCUAGGGACGAAGCGUUAUGUGACGGUACCUGGAGAAGAAGCACCGGCUAACUACGUG
rnacentral:rRNA from 1 species